AUGACCUCUGACACCAUAAAAAUUCCGUAAAAUGAUUUAUUUCACAAACUGUAAUGCAGAGAGAACACUGCUGGAAGUGGCUGGCUUUGGUACUGGUCUAGAUUUCUGGCCGUAGGUGGAGUAAAAGCAGGGUGUCUUGGCGGAGUCAGCGAUUGCCUGUUGGAGGGAAGAGGGCAUGCAAACGAUCCAGGACAUUCAGAAGGUUCUCGGCCACCACAGCCUGUGUGCCCUGCUCCUUCUCACCCUCAGGAGGGGAACCCGGAAGGAGUGGUGCUACUUUGGGCUCGACCAGACAUUUCGUCCAUGAUUUGGGAAUUAAGAGGUGAGGGCUUAGGGAGCAGGGGAGGGAGGACAUGGGACGGGGACAAAAUCCUGAGACCACCACCAUGGUGAGAAUGGGAAGUGGGAGCUGAUGAGGGAAGCUGGGGACCCUGAGUUAACAAUGGUCCUAACUUUGUGGACAAAGAAGAUGAAUUAAUCCAGUCCGG
rnacentral:lncRNA from 1 species